rnacentral:lncRNA from 1 species
UCCUCCAUCCUUAUACUUAACAAAUGUUCCAUCCAUGAAUAUCAGAGGUCUACAACCUUUUAUGAAACUAUUGAUUGAGGCUUUAAAUGAAAUGAAUAGACGUCUAAAUUGAUCUUCAAUGGUUUCGUACAUUGCUAUGCUGUUGGGGUUGGUCUGAAAAAUGGUAUCACAAUACUAUCGUAUCCUUUCAUAAGAUAUUGACCUCUCACCA